rnacentral:ncRNA from 1 species
CAACCUCAACUCAUAUGGGACUACCCCCUGAAUUUAAGCAUAUUAAUUAGGGGAGGAAAAGAAACUAACAAGGAUUUUCUUAGUAGCGGCGAGCGAAAAGAAAUCAGUUCAGCACUAAGUCACUUUGUCUAUAUGGCAAAUGUGAGAUGCAGUGUACGGAACAUCAACAUUCUAGUAUGAGAAGUUAACGAUUUAAGUCCUUCUUAAAUGAGGCCAUUUACCCAUAGAGGGUGCCAGGCCCGUAUAACGUUAAUGAUUACUAGAUGGUGUUUCCAAAGAGUCGUGUUGCUUGAUAGUGCAGCACUAAGUGGGUGGUAAACUCCAUCUAAAACUAAAUAUAACCAUGAGACCGAUAGUAAACAAGUACCGUGAGGGAAAGUUGAAAAGAACUCUGAAUAGAGAGUUAAAUAGUACGUGAAACUGCUUAAAGGUUAAGCCCGAUGAACCUGAAUAUCCGUUAUGGAAAAUUCAUCAUUAGAAUUGUAAUAUUUUAAACAAUAUUAUAAUAAUAGUGUGCAUUUUUUCCAUAUAAGUGCAUUGUAAUCUAUUAGCAUAAAUAUUUAUCAUAAAAUUAUGUCUGAUUGCUUAUUUGAAUUAUAUGCUUGGCAUUUUAACAUAAAAUAAAAGAUAUAAAUUUGAUAAAGUGCUGAUAGAUUUAUAUGAUUACAGUGCGUUAAUUUUUCGGAAUUAUAUAAUGGCAUAAUUAUAAUUGAUAUUUGUGUUUAUUAUAUGCAUUUGUAUGAUUAACAAUGCGAAAGAUUCAGGAUACC